rnacentral:rRNA from 1 species
UACGAAGGGGGCUAGCGUUGUGCGGAAUUACUGGGCGUAAAGCGCGCGCAGGCGGCCUUCCAAGUCAGUGGUGAAAGCCCGGAGCUCAACUCCGGAACUGCCAUUGAAACUGUUGGACUUGAGUACGAGAGAGGUGAGUGGAAUUCCCAGUGUAGAGGUGAAAUUCGUAGAUAUUGGGAAGAACACCGGUGGCGAAGGCGGCUCACUGGCUCGUAACUGACGCUCAGGCGCGACAGCGUGGGGAUCAAACAGG